UACGAAGGGGGCUAGCGUUGCUCGGAUUGACUGGGCGUAAAGGGCGCGUAGGCGGUUCGUACAGUCAGACGUGAAAUUCCUGGGCUCAACCUGGGGGCUGCGUUUGAUACGUGCGGACUUGAGUGCGGAAGAGGGUCGUGGAAUUCCCAGUGUAGAGGUGAAAUUCGUAGAUAUUGGGAAGAACACCGGUGGCGAAGGCGGCGACCUGGUCCGAUACUGGACGGCUGAGGCGCGAAAGCGUGGGGAGCAAACAGG
rnacentral:rRNA from 1 species